rnacentral:lncRNA from 1 species
CCAGCCUUUACACAGAAACUUGAAGAAGCGCUCUUUACCUUGUGCUGACGCCAGAUGUAGGAGCACCGACAGCAAUAUUACAAUCCAACAGGGUCUCUUUCUCGCUUCACCCGAAUUCCCAAACAUUGCCAGAGAGGCAGAUGGAGAGACACUGAACGCGUUUGUCCGGCACGCCGGGUACAUGUUGCUCCUCCACAGUCCAGCCACAGUUGUGCGCGUAAUUUUCUGGAGUGUCUGUGGCGCGUCUCGUGCGAGGACUUGUGCGACUCAAAAGACUAAUUCUUUACAUGUAUAUCUGAAACUUGAAUAUUGUUCAACUCCGUUGUAGGUGUGAGUUUGUGAACGGUAUGUUAAAACUUCAGUUCUUAACAGUCUACGACUCCAAUGCACAGAAGUCUGACACUUGUAUUCUUUCAUCCACUGGCUCUACUCUCAUGCAUUCACUUAACAAAUGUUUGAUCAUUAAGUAUAUUCCCAAAUGCAGACCGCAAACGCCUCUAGUUCGCGAACUGUUGAUAACGGUCCCCAGGCUAUGAUUAGACGGGUGAUAAUUCGCUCAUGAUCAAUGUCGCUGUGUUAUUCUCAUUUCAGAAAAAACAAAAGUUAGCUCUGUUCCUGGCGCGUUGCUAUUUGUUAUCCCCAAGACGAGUCUUUUGCAGUGAAGAACCUCCCGUUCACUGAGUCCGCCCAGAUGCAGAAUAAGCUUCAUUCGGUUUAAGUAACUUUCCAAGUCCAGUUUUAGUGCGACACGGUGCCGUUUGGUCCAGUCGAACCAUGCUCUGCGUAAAGCUCCGCUGUGAUGCGAAACGGUAUUCGUGAGAGAUCAAACUGUCAUGAAUGCCGCCCAGGAACCGGCCCGUUGCGCUGAAGAUCUCCAGCAUCAUGAGCAGCGGAUCGGAGAGAGAGGUGCGCGCGGAGGGGGCUGACGCACGGUGCCACCGCGCGGUGAGCUCCAAUAAGACACGCAGCGAGACAAACGGGCACUCGCUGCUGAAUGCACUGGAAGGAACGCGUGCGAAAAACAGACCAACAGUGUGGUUCAAGAGAAACGAAGAUCUUAAUAUUUCUCAGAGCAGAAAACAAGAGAG